CUACGGGAGGCAGCAGUGGGGAAUAUUGGACAAUGGGGGCAACCCUGAUCCAGCAAUGCCGCGUGUGUGAAGAAGGUCUUCGGAUUGUAAAGCACUUUCACUAGGGAAGAUGAUGACGGUACCUAGAGAAGAAGCCCCGGCUAACUUCGUGCCAGCAGCCGCGGUAAUACGAAGGGGGCUAGCGUUGCUCGGAAUGACUGGGCGUAAAGGGCGCGUAGGCUGUUUGUACAGUCAGAUGUGAAAUCCCCGGGCUUAACCUGGGAACUGCAUUUGAUACGUGCAGACUAGAGUCCGAGAGAGGGUUGUGGAAUUCCCAGUGUAGAGGUGAAAUUCGUAGAUAUUGGGAAGAACACCGGUUGCGAAGGCGGCAACCUGGCUCGGAACUGACGCUGAGGCGCGAAAGCGUGGGGAGCGAACAGGAUUAGAUACCCUGGUAGUCCACGCUGUAAACGAUGUGUGCUGGAUGUUGGGUGAUUUUAUCAUUCAGUGUCGGAGCUAACGCGUUAAGCACACCGCCUGGGGAGUACGGCCGCAAGGUUGAAACUCAAAGGAAUUGACGGGGGNCCGCACAANCGGUG
rnacentral:rRNA from 1 species